GACGAACGCUGGCGGCGUGCUUAACACAUGCAAGUCGAACGGAAAGGCCCUGCUUGCAGGGUGCUCGAGUGGCGAACGGGUGAGUAACACGUGGGUGAUCUGCCCCUUACUUUGGGAUAAGCCUGGGAAACUGGGUCUAAUACUGGAUAGGACCAUGCUGUAGGUGGUGUGGUGGAAAGAUUAGUUUCGGUAAGGGAUGAGCUCGCGGCCUAUCAGCUUGUUGGUGGGGUAAUGGCCUACCAAGGCGUCGACGGGUAGCCGGCCUGAGAGGGUGGACGGCCACAUUGGGACUGAGAUACGGCCCAGACUCCUACGGGCGGCAGCAGUGGGGAAUAUUGCACAAUGGCGCAAGCCUGAUGCAGCGACGCCGCGUGGGGGAUGACGGCCUUCGGGUUGUAAACUCCUUUCAGCCAUGACGAAGCCCUUGUGGUGACGGUAGUGGUAGAAGAAGCACCGGCUAACUACGUG
rnacentral:rRNA from 1 species